rnacentral:rRNA from 1 species
AGGGAUCAUUAAAGAAGCUUAAAAACCUUCAAAAACCCGCGAACCGAUACCUGUUGCUUCGGCGGGCGGCCCCUGGGAGGGGCCGCAGCCCGCAAGGGCGCCCGCCGGCGGCACUUGUCACUCUUUGUUAGAAGCCUCUCUGAGCAGACACAAAAUGAGUCAAAACUUUCAACAACGGAUCUCUUGGUUCUGGCAUCGAUGAAGAACGCAGCGAAAUGCGAUAAGUAAUGUGAGUUGCAGAACUCAGCGAAUCAUCGAAUCUUUGAACGCACAUUGCGCCCGCCGGUAUUCCGGCGGACAUGCCUGUUCGAGCGUCAUUUCAACCCUCGAGCCCAGCUCGGUGAUGGGGCCCUGCAGCAGCUGCAGGCCCUGAAAAUCAGUGGCGGUCGCGCCUGGACCCGCAGCGCAGUAAUCAUCCUCGCUCGCGGCGCCCCGGCGCGCUCCGGCCGUGAAAACCCCCCUUCUCAAAGGUUGACCUCGGAUCAGGUAGGAAUACCCGCUGAACUUAAGCAUAUCAAUAAGCGGAGGAAAAGAAACCAACAGGGAUUGCCCCAGUAACGGCGAGUGAAGCGGCAACAGCUCAAAUUUGAAAGCCGGCUUUCGGGCCCGCGUUGUAAUUUGCAGAGGAUGCUUCGGGCGCGGUGCCUUCCGAGUCCCCUGGAACGGGGCGCCAUAGAGGGUGAGAGUCCCGUACGGUUGGACGCCUAGCCCGUGUGAAGCUCCUUCGACGAGUCGAGUAGUUUGGGAAUGCUGCUCUAAAUGGGAGGUACAUUCCUUCUAAAGCUAAAUACCGGCCAGAGACCGAUAGCGCACAAGUAGAGUGAUCGAAAGAUGAAAAGCACUUUGAAAAGAGAGUCAAACAGCACGUGAAAUUGUUGAAAGGGAAGCGCUCGUGACCAGACUUGCGCCGGGCCGAUCAUCCGGUGUUCUCACCGGUGCACUCGGCCCGGCACAGGCCAGCGUCGGUUUCCGCCGGGGGACAAAGGCGCCGGGAACGUGGCUCCCUCGGGAGUGUUAUAGCCCGGCGUGCAAUGCCCCUGGCGGGGACCGAGG